CCCUUAGAUGGUCUGGGCGGCACGCGCGCUACAAUGAUGCAUUCAAAAAGUCUUCUGACCUUAGAAGGUUGGGUAUUCUCCAAAGUGCAUCGUGAUGGGAAUAGUUUAUUGCAAUUUUUAAUCUUGAACGAGGAAUUCCUAGUAAGUACAGGUCAUCAACUUGUGUUGAUUACGUCCCUGCCCUUUGUACACACCGCCCGUCGCUCCUACUGAUUGAGUGUCUCGGUGAAUUCUUUGAUCUUCUGUCGAUUCAGUUCACUGAUCCGACGGUGGAAAGUUGAAUGAACUUCGUCACCUAGAGGAAGGAGAAGUCGUAACA
rnacentral:rRNA from 1 species